rnacentral:lncRNA from 1 species
ACACACACACACACACACACACACACACACACACACAUGCUCCUCUUAGAUUCAGGGAGAUGAAAUAAUUUUGGAACUUUUAAUUUUUGUUUUUUUUUUAAUUAAGAAUAUAUGUGUGUGUCUGUAUAUGGAUGUAUACACGAGGGCAGGUACCCUCGGAGGCCAGAAAACAGCUGGAGCUGGAGUUCCAAGGGGUUUUGAACCACCCAAUGUGGCUGUUGGGAUCUGAACUCAGGUAGAGCAGGAAGCCCUCCGAACCACACAGCCAUCUCUCCAGCCUCUCAGCUUGCCUUGUUUGGUUUGGUUUGGCUUGGCUUGUUUUUUGUUUUUUGUUUGGUUUUGUUUUUUUGUUUUUUGGGUUUUUUUUUUUGUUUUUGUUUUGUUUUGGGGUUUUUUUUGUUGUUUGUUUGUUUGAGACAAGGUCUCUCACUGUGGCCUUGGCUGUCCUGGAACUCGAAAGUUCUGGGAUUAAACGCAAGAAUCAUGCCUGGCUUUUUUUCCCCAAGGUAAAAUUUCACCGUGUAGUUAUGCAUGGCCUGCAUGCAUUAUAU